ensembl:misc_RNA Metazoa_SRP Metazoan signal recognition particle RNA
GCCAGGUGUGGUGGCUCACGCCUGUAAUCCCAGCACUUUGGGAGGCUGAGGCAGGUGGAUCACUUGAGGCCAGGAGUUUGAGACCAGCCUGGCCAACAUGGUGAAACCCUGUCUCUA